rnacentral:rRNA from 1 species
GCUUACAGCCACACCGCCUGGUAUACGCUUGAUCUCGGAAGAUAAGGUAGGUUGGGCCUGGUUAGUACUUGGAUGGGGAGACCGCCUGGGAAUACCAGGUGCUGUAAGCU